rnacentral:rRNA from 1 species
AGUGAACGCUGGCGGUAGGCCUAACACAUGCAAGUCGAACGGCAGCACAGUAAGCGCUUGCUCUUACGGGUGGCGAGUGGCGGACGGGUGAGGCAUACAUCGGAAUCUACUUUUUCGUGGGUGAUAACGUAGGGAAACUUACGCUAAUACCUCAUACGACCUACGGGUGAAAGCAGGGGAUCUUCGGACCUUGCGCGAUUGAAUGAGCCGAUGUCGGAUUAGCUAGUUGGCGGGGUAAAGGCCCACCAAGGCGACGAUCCGUAGCUGGUCUGAGAGGAUGAUCAGCCACACUGGAACUGAGACACGGUCCAGACUCCUACGGGAGGCAGCAGUGGGGAAUAUUGGACAAUGGGCGCAAGCCUGAUCCAGCCAUACCGCGUGGGUGAAGAAGGCCUUCGGGUUGUAAAGCCCUUUUGUUGGGAAAGAAAAGCAGCAGGUUAAUACCCCGCUGUUCUGACGGUACCCAAAGAAUAAGCACCGGCUAACUUCGUG